UUUGUCGAGUUUAGUUUACUUAAAGUAUUCGUCAGAAAACGCCUACGAACGAAACAUCACUGAUACUUUGAGUGCACUCACACGGCCAUCUAGACAGAGCUCUGCAUCCUAAUUUCCAUAACUGAAGGACAGAAGACAUCUCCUGGCCUCCUUAGCUGGAAUAUUUGCCUGACAGAUUGCGUCUAGGCCUGGUAAUCACUUCUCUUCUGCUGUGGGAGUUCAGGGUCUGGCUGCAGACGUGCACACCUGCUGUUCGGGAGGUCAUAUGCGCUCCCUACAGAGGAAAUGGAUCCCUUUAUCCGUUAAGCAUGUUUUAUUCGAUUUUUGUUUUAACUCUGUGAGAAAACUUUUUUUUUAUUCAGUCAACUCUUUUGAAGAGAUUUUGAACAGAGUUGAAUACAGUUUUGGAAUUUCUAGCAAAAAUAAAUUGUAAAAACAUAAUAUUUCUCGCCAUGAAAAUAGCUUGAAAUAAGCUUGAAUGGCAUUAAACACAAACAAACAACAACCAGAAGAUUUGGAAAGCUACGUGGAUAUUGCUGACAAAAAAAACAAGCAAAAAAACGAGCAAAUAUUUUUACGAUGUAGUAUAUAUGGGAUUUUUAGCUUGAAAUUUCUCUGCAAGCAUGCCGAACAUAGACAUAUUAUUCAAUGGAUGUAUUGUAGUUCUCUGUAAAGGAAAAUAUCAUUUAAAAAUAAAUCAGAAUAUAUUACACAUUUUUUGAUUUCUGAAUAUCAG